rnacentral:lncRNA from 1 species
AAUGGGAAUGAUGGGAAUGACAAUGGGAAUAAUGGGAAUGAUGGGAAUAAUGGGGGCUCUGGGAUGUGGGGAAACCCCGGAGCCCGAGCUGGAAUUCCGGAGCGCGGACAGGAGAUCCCGGACCUGGGAAAACACCGGGAAAAACAAUGGGAAUGACAAUGGGAAUGACAACGGGAAUAAUGGGAAUGACAACGGGAAUGAUGGGAAUGACAACGGGAAUGAUGGGAAUGACAAUGGGAAUGAUGGGAAUAACAAUGGGAAUGAUGGGAAUAACAAUGGGAAUGACAAUGGGAAUGAUGGGAAUGAUGGGGGGUGCUGGGAUGUGGGGAAACCCUGGAGCCGGAAUUCUGGAGUGCGGACAGGAGCUUCUUGAGCUGGGAAAACACCGGGAAAAACAAUGGGAAUAAUGGGAAUGACAAUGGGAAUGACAAUGGGAAUGACAAUGGGAAUGAUGGGAACGACAAUGGGAAUGAUGGGAAUGACAAUGGGAAUGAUGGGAAUGAUGGGGGCUCUGGGAUGUGGGGAAAACCCGGAGCCGGAGCUGGAAUUCCGGAGCGCGGACAGGAGGUGCUGGACCUGGGAAAACACCGGGAAUGAUGGGAAUGACAAUGGGAAUGACAAUGGGAAUGACAAUGGGAAUGACAAUGGGAAUGAUGGGGGGUGCUGGGAUGUGGGGAAACCCCGGAGCUGGAACUGGAGCUCUGGAGCUUGGAAAGGAGAUCCCAGACCUGGAAAAACAGCAGGAAUUCCCAUUGGGAAUAACAGGAAUGAUGGGGAUAACAACAUGAAUAACAAUGGGAAUAAUGGGAAUGAUGGGAAUGAUGGGGGGUGCUGGGAUGUGGGGAAACCCUGGAGCCGGAGCUGGAAUUCCGGAGCGCGGAAAGGAGAUCCCGGACCUGGGAAAACACCGGGAAUU